CGCGCGCGGCUUGGCGGGGGCGCCCUCGCAGUGGGGGUGGGGGGCGGGUCCGAAGGAGCGUACCUCUGGGAGACACCCUCCUCUCCUACCCGCCGCGCGCUCCCAGCUGGCCUGUGGGACACAGCCCUCCCCCCCACCUCCCCUUCUCGGCCUUCGCAAGUCUGGGCGCCUCCCGGCACGCACUGAAGAGUGUCUCCAGGGUCUGUCUUAGUUAGUUUAGUGAACUCUCUCCAGCCUGGACUGCUGACCUAUGACCUCCCAUUAUUCAAACCAAGGCUGGAGCUUCCGUUCCCUCACUUCUCAGCAUCGCCUCCUGAAAUGAAGAUGCCUCAUCAGGAUCUGACAAUGUUCCAGAUGGUCAAAACUCCAUCAACCCGAGUCCCUGACUCUCAGCUUAAAUGUCAUCUCUUCAGUGGAAUCCUUCCUCAACUGCCUCACAUAAUGGUCUGCCUUCUUAUAGAAGCGAAGCCCUUUGAGAAUAAGACCCACAUCUGUUUUGCUCACCAUUGUGCAUGAAGUGCCUACUCAGAGGAGACUGAAGACUACAGAAGGCUACUUAAGUGUGAGAAAGUGCUGGAAAAAUUAAGAAGCUAUGCAGCAUGUACUAUACGUGUAUAAAUAUGUAACUUACACACACAUAUUAAUAUACUACAACUAUACAACUGUAAUUAUAUCUUCACUGUAGACCUGUGUUGAAAGCCAAGUGAAUUUGAGACAAAUUACUCAGCUUUCUGAACUUCUGUGUUUCAUCUGUAAGAUGGGUAAUAAUAACAGUACCAAUUCA